rnacentral:rRNA from 1 species
AUUGAACGCUGGCGGCAUGCCUUACACAUGCAAGUCGAACGGUAACAGGUCUUCGGAUGCUGACGAGUGGCGAACGGGUGAGUAAUACAUCGGAACGUGCCCGAGAGUGGGGGAUAACGAGGCGAAAGCUUUGCUAAUACCGCAUACGAUCUCAGGAUGAAAGCAGGGGACCGCAAGACCUUGCGCUCACGGAGCGGCCGAUGGCAGAUUAGGUAGUUGAUGGGAUAAAAGCUUACCAAGCCGACGAUCUGUAGCUGGUCUGAGAGGACGACCAGCCACACUGGGACUGAGACGCGGCCCAGACUCCUACGGGGGGCAGCAGUGGGGAAUUUUGGACAAUGGGCGCAAGCCUGAUCCAGCCAUGCCGCGUGCAGGAUGAAGGCCUUCGGGUUGUAAACUGCUUUUGUACGGAACGAAAAGACUCUGGUUAAUACCUGGGGUCCAUGACGGUACCGUAAGAAUAAGCACCGGCUAACUACGUGCCAGCCGCCGCGGUAAUAC